GGCAGAAAGUAUCCUGGUGUGUUUGGU
rnacentral:piRNA from 1 species